GACACGAUGGCCGAGUGGUCUAAGGCGCCAGAUUUAAGCUUUUCCUGUUCAAGGAAUGCCGAUCUCUGGUACAGAAAUGUGCGUGGGUUCGAAACCCACUCGUGUCA